GUCAUGCAGUCAGCCCUGCCUCUUUGCCUCCUCAUGGUGCCGGAGUUAAGCAGCGUCGCCCUAGCAAGUUGCUCCUACAUAACUGGGGCUGCCUGCCCAUCUUGGGUGGCCCUUUUAACCGCCAGCUGCAGGG
ensembl:snoRNA